GACGAACGCUGGCGGCGUGCUUAACACAUGCAAGUCGAACGGAAAGGCCCUGCUUUUGUGGGGUGCUCGAGUGGCGAACGGGUGAGUAACACGUGUGUAACCUGCCCUUGACUGUGGGAUAACUUCAGGAAACUGGGGCUAAUACCGGAUAGGAGCUCCUGCUGCAUGGUGGGGGUGGGAAAGUUUCGGCGGUUGGGGAUGGACUCGCGGCUUAUCAGCUUGUUGGUGGGGUAGUGGCUUACCAAGGCUUUGACGGGUAGCCGGCCUGAGAGGGUGACCGGCCACCUUGGGACUGGGAUACGGCCCAGACUCCUACGGGAGGCAGCGGUGGGGAAUCUUGCACAAUGGGCGGAAGCCUGAUGCGGCAACGCCGCGGGCGGGAUGACGGCCUUCGGGUUGUAAACCGCUUUCGCCUGUGACGAAGCGUGAGUGACGGUAAUGGGUAAAGAAGCACCGGCUAACUACGUG
rnacentral:rRNA from 1 species